AGCAGCCGCGGUAAUUCCAGCUCCAAUAGCGUAUAUUAAAGUUGUUGCAGUUAAAAAGCUCGUAGUUGAAUUUCGGGAUUGACACAUCGGUCGUGCCUUAAGGGGUAUGAACUGGUGUAGUCAAUUUCUCACCUUCUGGAGAACCGCGAUGUCCUUAAUUGGGUGCCGCGAGGAACCAGGACCUUUACUUUGAAAAAUUAGAGUGUUUAAAGCAGGCAUUUUUGCUUGAAUACAUUAGCAUGGAAUAAUAAAAUAGGACGGCAUGAUUCUAUUUUGUUGGUUUCUAGGAUCACCGUAAUGAUUAAUAGGGAUAGUUGGGGGCAUUAGUAUUCAAUUGUCAGAGGUGAAAUUCUUGGAUUUAUUGAAGACUAACUACUGCGAAAGCAUUUGCCAAGGAUGUUUUCAUUAAUCAAGAACGAAAGUUAGGGGAUCGAAGACGAUCAGAUACCGUCGUAGUCUUAACCAUAAACUAUGCCGACUAGGAAUCAGACGAUGUUA
rnacentral:rRNA from 1 species